GGUGUUACAUUAUUAUUACAAACUUAUACAUACAUAAAACAUACAAAUUUCCAAAGAAAUACAUAUUGUUUAGUAAUACUGCCCGUCAAAGUUACAUUUGGGCAUACAUUAUGUACAGAAUUUACAAGUGUAAUUAUUCAUCACAUUUGCUUAUACUAUCCCACUUAUUUAGCCUCUAAGUAAUAUAACUGAGUUAGAUUAUUUGGCCAACACAACCGAGUCAUCCUAAGACUUAUAAAAUUAAUUUUGAGACUUCUUUGAAAUAUUUCUAUUAGACUCG
rnacentral:lncRNA from 1 species